rnacentral:rRNA from 1 species
AUUGAACGCUGGCGGCAGGCUUAACACAUGCAAGUCGAGCGAGCGGCGGACGGGUGAGUAAUGUCUGGGAAACUGCCUGAUGGAGGGGGAUAACUACUGGAAACGGUAGCUAAUACCGCAUACCAUCAGAUGUGCCCAGAUGGGAUUAGCUAGUAGGUGGGGUAAUGGCUCACCUAGGCGACGAUCCCUAGCUGGUCUGAGAGGAUGAUCAGCCACACUGGGACUGAGACACGGCCCAGACUCCUACGGGAGGCAGCAGUGGGGAAUAUUGCACAAUGGGCGCAAGCCUGAUGCAGCCAUGCCGCGUGUAUGAAGAAGGCCUUCGGGUUGUAAAGUACUUUCAGUCGGGAGGCGUUACCGACAGAAGAAGCACCGGCUAACUCCGUGCCAGCAGCCGCGGUAAUAC